rnacentral:rRNA from 1 species
AACGAACGCUGGCGGCAGGCUUAACACAUGCAAGUCGAACGCAUCCUUCGGGGUGAGUGGCAGACGGGUGAGUAACGCGUGGGAACGUGCCCUUCAGUUCGGGAUAACCCAGGGAAACUUGGGCUAAUACCGGAAACGUGCGAGAGCAGAAAGAUUUAUCGCUGAAGGAUCGGCCCGCGUCUGAGUAGCUAGUUGGUGGGGUAAUGGCCCACCAAGGCGACGAUCAGUAGCUGGUCUGAGAGGAUGAUCAGCCACAUUGGGACUGAGACACGGCCCAAACUCCUACGGGAGGCAGCAGUGGGGAAUAUUGGACAAUGGGCGCAAGCCUGAUCCAGCCAUGCCGCGUGAGUGAUGAAGGCCUUAGGGUUGUAAAGCUCUUUCGUCCGGGGCGAUAAUGACGGUACCGGAAGAAGAAGCCCCGGCUAACUUCGUGCCAGCCGCCGCAGUAA